CAAGUUAUCAGACUCUUAACUCUCUAACUCUUAAUAAAUGUUUCCAGACAAGAAGGAGAGUGUGGCGUAUAAAGCAACAAGAUGAAUUCUGAGGGAGCGGGUCCCCUUCCACGGAGGCCGCCAUUUUGCACCGCCAUGUUCAGCCCUGAGUAGUGUCUGCAGGUCUUCCCUUCGGUCUCCAUAAGGCCCCAACAACCCCCAGCAAUAAGCUAGGACAGCAUGUACAUUAUGCAGCCUGUGAGGUGAAACCCAGGGCAAAAAAGAGCAGACAUCCUGGAACCUGAGGAAACCCAGUCCCACGAUACGAGCCUUCGCCCCCCAGCUGAGACAGAGCUGAAUCAGGCGACAGGCACUUCCCUCCCAGUGUUUCCACUGACAUCACCUUACAUACAGGAUUCAGACAGACGUGGGGGAGUGAAGUUAACUAUUACAGCAUCCUAGAGCUAUGAAGUGCUACUGCACCUCAUGACAGCUGCCAUUUGUUGUCCUGGAAACAAGCAAUGCGUCAUGCACCAGGAGUCACAGACUUGACGUUGCAGCUAUGACUGCCUAAAUAAUUUCCUUUCUACUAACCUGGGAGAUAGGGCAAUUCAGAAAUAAUUUAUAAUACCCAUGACAGUCCACUCCAAAUAUUAACACUACAUAAAAUGUGUGUGUAUUUUACAAGAUAUACAUACAAUAAUCUAUUCUGAUGAGAAAAUGAAACCAUAAUCCCCACCAACACUUCCAUGGCCGUGUCUCUGUUAAAGUUUCUGAGAUCAUCAAAGCGAUUCAUAUAUGGGCCGCAUGAAAUCUUGAAUUUGUGAUACGCUGUGCAUGAAAUAAGCUCAUUUUCGGAGACUGACCCUUUCACACAUUCAAAACUGACUGUUCAUUCAGCAGUCAUCAAGGCAGGAACAUUCUGCUUUUACUGCUGUCAGUUUGUUUCUUCACGUGAGGACAAACCCUGAAACCCUGUAACAAAA